rnacentral:lncRNA from 1 species
UGCACUUGUUGUGCAAUUCUUUUUGGCAGUGUUUGAAUUACUUCUAGUGCUCAAUCUUGGGUUGGCUUCUUGUUGCUAUGCAAGCUUUUCUGUCAAGUGUACUGCACAACAUUCUGAUCUGAAAGCCAGUUGGCGAGAGUUGCUUGCUUAGAAUGAUAAUACUUUUGAUUUCAUUUUAAAGUUAAAGGAUUGUUUUAUGAAGUGUUGUCCUUAGCCUUAAGGCUCUAAAUAGUGCCAUUUUGGACCACUGAAUGAUCAUCUUUGAUAGAGAAGGAAAAGUGUCUUAUUUGCAGAUUGUCUUUAGAUGACUGACUUAAAGAACGUGCUCUUUGGAUGGGAAAACUUCAGAUCAUGAUAGCAAAAAUCUCUAUUGGUGGAGUCUACAGGCUGCAGACAAACCUUGAGGAAGGUCUCCUAUAGCAGCAUGAAAGGUUUGUGUGUUCAUCUGCCUGUUUCUACAUCUAUCUUUUAUGAUGUCGACUAUCUCUGAACUGAGAAGAGAUGAAAAAGAGAUUUCAUUAGAGGAAGGGAUGGAAUAAGAUGGGAGGUAGAAGAGGAUAGGAAAAGCAUACAUUUGCAUGCAAUGAAACUUCAGUAUCAAAG